CCCGGGUUGCUCACUAUUUAAGCACUGUUAUGUGCCCCAAACUCGCCUCCCUCACCCUCAGAGAGUCUGUGAGAAACCCUAAACCAUCCCUUGAUUGAUUAAGUGUUUUUGUGUGAUUUCUUGAAGGCUUGAAGAAGAAAAAGAAGAAAGGUCCAAAGAGAAGAGGUGUAGAGCAAAGAUCCAAGGUCAAAAUCAGAGUUCAUUGAGCCAGGGAGAUACCAGAGCAGCAGCAGAUAGCUUCCAGAGCCAUACACACAGCAGCCAGUUCACGAGGUACUUCCGCAAGCAAAGGGAAGAGCUCGGGAUGAUGACAUCGCACACACCACAACUUCAGUUUUUGUCUUGGGAGUUGAUUCAGUUUACUUAGAUAUGUUUUGAUACAGUUGUGACACAGCUUUCACACAGUAUUUUAGUAUGGUUUGAGA